rnacentral:rRNA from 1 species
AUUGAACGCUGGCGGCAGGCUUAACACAUGCAAGUCGAGUGAGCGGCGGACGGGUGAGUAAUGUCUGGGACACUGCCUGAUGGAUGGGGUUACCUACUGGAAACGGUAGCUAAUACCGCAUCCCAUCAGAUGUGCCCAGAUGGGAUUAGCGAGUAGGUGGGGUAAUGGCUCACAUAGGCGACGAUCCCUAGCUGGUCUGAGAGGAUGACCAGUCACACUGGAACUGAGACACGGUCCAGACUCCUACGGGAGGCAGCAGUGGGGAAUAUUGCACAAUGGGCGCAAGCCUGAUGCAGCCAUGCCGCGUGUGUGAAGAAGGCCUGCGGGUUGUAAAGCACUUUCAGCGAGGAGGCGUUACUCACAGAAGAAGCACCGGCUAACUCCGUGCCAGCAGCCGCGGUAAUAC